GAAAUGCGAUAAUUAAUGUGAAUUGCAGAAUUCAGUGAAUCAUCGAGUCUUUGAACGCACAUUGCGCCCCCUGGUAUUCCGGGGGGCAUGCCUGUCCGAGCGUCAUUGUUGCCCUCAAGCACGGCUUGUGUGUUGGGCUUCCGUCCCUGGCAACGGGGACGGGCCCAAAAGGCAGUGGCGGCACCAUGUCUGGUCCUCGAGCGUAUGGGGCUUUGUCACCCGCUCCCGUAGGUCCAGCUGGCAGCUAGCCUCGCAACCAAUCUUUUUAACCAGUUUGACCUCGGAUCAGGUAGGGAUACCCGCUGAACUUAAGC
rnacentral:misc_RNA from 1 species